GUAGUAGUAGUACGUGGUACGUACGACUAGUAGUCGUACUAUAAUAGUAGUGUGUGUUGUACGUACACACUACUACG
rnacentral:tRNA from 1 species